UACGAAGGGGGCUAGCGUUGUUCGGAAUUACUGGGCGUAAAGCGCGCGCAGGCGGUCCUUCAAGUCAGAGGUGAAAGCCCAGGGCUCAACCCUGGAACUGCCUUUGAAACUGGAGGACUUGAGUACGGGAGAGGUGAGUGGAAUUCCGAGUGUAGAGGUGAAAUUCGUAGAUAUUCGGAAGAACACCAGUGGCGAAGGCGGCUCACUGGCCCGUUACUGACGCUCAGGCGCGACAGCGUGGGGAGCAAACAGG
rnacentral:rRNA from 2 species